UACGUAGGGUGCGAGCGUGUCCGGAAUUAUUGGGCGUAAAGAGCUCGUAGGCGGCUUGUCGCGUCGGAUGUGAAAUCCCUCGGCUUAACCGGGGAACUGCGUCCGAUACUGGCUGGCUUGAGUUUGGGAGAGGGAUGCGGAAUUCCAGGUGUAGCGGUGAAAUGCGUAGAUAUCGAGAGGAACACCUGCGGCGAAGGCGGGUAGCUGGGCCGUGGGACAGCAAUGUCCUUAUAGCUGACACUGAGGCGCGACAGCGUGGGGAGCAAACAGG
rnacentral:rRNA from 1 species